rnacentral:rRNA from 1 species
CCUACGGGAGGCUGCAGUGGGGAAUAUUGGACAAUGGGGGGAACCCUGAUCCAGCCAUGCCGCGUGUGUGAAGAAGGCCCUCGGGUUGUAAAGCACUUUCAGUGAGGAAGAACGCCUGGUGGUUAAUACCCAUCAGGAAAGACAUCACUCACAGAAGAAGCACCGGCUAACUCCGUGCCAGCAGCCGCGGUAAUACGGAGGGUGCGAGCGUUAAUCGGAAUUACUGGGCGUAAAGCGCGCGUAGGUGGCUUGAUAAGCCGGUUGUGAAAGCCCCGGGCUCAACCUGGGAACGGCAUCCGGAACUGUCAAGCUAGAGUGCAGGAGAGGAAGGUAGAAUUCCCGGUGUAGCGGUGAAAUGCGUAGAGAUCGGGAGGAAUAUCAGUGGCGAAGGCGGCCUUCUGGACUGACACUGACACUGAGGUGCGAAAGCGUGGGUAGCAAACAGGAUUAGAUACCCUUGUAGUC